rnacentral:rRNA from 1 species
AGCGAACGCUGGCGGCAGGCCUAACACAUGCAAGUCGAACGAAGUCUUCGGACUUAGUGGCGGACGGGUGAGUAACACGUGGGAACGUGCCUUUAGGUUCGGAAUAACUCAGGGAAACUUGUGCUAAUACCGAAUGUGCCCUUCGGGGGAAAGAUUUAUCGCCUUUAGAGCGGCCCGCGUCUGAUUAGCUAGUUGGUGAGGUAAAGGCUCACCAAGGCUACGAUCAGUAGCUGGUCUGAGAGGAUGACCAGCCACAUUGGGACUGAGACACGGACCAAACUCCUACGGGAGGCAGCAGUGGGGAAUCUUGCGCAAUGGGCGAAAGCCUGACGCAGCCAUGCCGCGUGGAUGAUGAAGGUCUUAGGAUUGUAAAAUCCUUUCACCGGUGAAGAUAAUGACUGUAGCCGGAGAAGAAGCCCCGGCUAACUUUGUGCCAGCCGCCGCGGUAAGAC